UUGGAGGGCAAGUCUGGUGCCAGCAGCCGCGGUAAUUCCAGCUCCAAUAGCGUAUAUUAAAGUUGUUGCAGUUAAAAAGCUCGUAGUUGAAUUUCGGAGUUUGUCGGUCGGUCGGGCUUCACUGUCCGCACUGGCCUGACGGAUUCCUACCUUCUGAAUAACCAGCAUGCUAUUAAGUUAGUGCGUUGGGGAAGCAGAGCUAUUACCUUGAAAAAAUUAGAGUGCUUAAAACAGGCUUAUGCUUGAAUAGAUUAGCAUGGAAUAAUGAAAUAGGACGUUUGAUUCUAUUUUGUUGGUUUCUAGGAUCACCGUAAUGAUUAAUAGGGAUAGUUGGGGGCAUUAGUAUUCAAUUGUCAGAGGUGAAAUUCUUGGAUUUAUUGAAGACUAACUUCUGCGAAAGCAUUUGCCAAGGAUGUUUUCAUUAAUCAAGAACGAAAGUUAGGGGAUCGAAGACGAUCAGAUACCGUCGUAGUCUUAACCAUAAACUAUGCCGACUAGGGAUCGGACGAUGUUAAUUUUUUAAUGACUCGUUCGGCGCCUUACGGGAAAC
rnacentral:rRNA from 1 species